GGGGAUUUAGUUCAGUGGUAGAGCGCUUGCCUAGCAAGUGCAAGGCCCUGGGUUCGGUCCCCAGCCCCG
rnacentral:tRNA from 1 species